CUGGAUAAAUUGUAAAAUACAAGUUAAAUAAUAAUAAAAAAAAAGAAUAGAGGGUUGUAACUAUGAAUAGGUUUCUCUUGAGCAACUUGGCUCAAUUCGACAUGAUAUUCGUGUGUUAUUAUAAAUCGGCCAAAGUAUCUACAUAAGCACUCGUUGAUUUACGCGAUAUCGUAAUCCGAUACAACAGCGCACUCGAAUGGAACGCUUUGUUAUUAUUAAUGUUGGAAGCUUGUUUCAUGUUCGAUGACUACUUAUCGAGUAUUGCUCAUCUUGAUUACACGUAACUGUACGAAAGAAUGUAUAACAGUCAGAAGCAUAAACUAAAGCGACACGAGAAGAAUUACACCAUGCUCGAUGCGUGAUAGAAUCCGUUUAAAGUGAAAGUAACUGUUUGUUAUGCGAUGCAAAGAAAUUCUCCAAUGUUACACGUAUCACGUGGCUAACAAGACACUAAAGUGCAGCAUUCACGUGACCAAAGCUAUGGAAUACUAUCGCGUUACGUAACAACCUGCAAUAAUGUUACCGGUGCUAUGAGAAAAAAAGAGCUGGAAGAAUUGCCUUUUGUUCCUACAAUGAGAAUUUUCGUCUGGUUAUCCGUGAUUUUUUUUUGAGAGAAAAAAAGAGGAACGAAUAAUUAUUCGUA